ensembl:lncRNA
AGAAGGCAGAGAGAGAGAGGAGCGAGAAGGCAGAGAGAGAGAGGAGCGAGAAGGCAGAGAGAGAGAGGAGCGAGAAGAGAGAGAGAGAGAAGGCAGAGAGAGAGAGAGAAGGCAGAGAGAGAGAGAAGGCAGAGAGAGAGAGAAGGCAAAGAGAGAGAGAAGGCAGAGAGAGAGAGAGAGAAGGCAGAGAGAGAGAGAAGGCAGAGAGAGAGAGAGAGAGAAGGCAGAGAGAGAGAGAGAGAGAAGGCAGAGAGAGAGAGAAGGCAGACAGAGACAGAGAGAGAGAGAAGGCAGAGAGAGAGACAGACAGAGACAGAAAGAGAGAGAGGAGUUGAAGGGACAGAGAGAGCGAGAGAGAAAGAGAGAGGAGUUGAAGGGACAGAGAGAGAGGGAGAGAGAGAGAGGAGUUGAAGGGACACAGAGAGAGAGAGAGAAGGCAGAGAGAGAGGCAGAGAGAGAGAGAGACAGAGAGAGACAGAGACAGAUAGAGAGAGAGGAGUUGAAGGGACAGAGAGAGAGAGACUUGCUUUGGCAAUGUUAACACAUGUUUCCCAUGCCAAUAAAGCCCUUGAAUUGAAUUCAAAUUGAAUUGAGAGAGACAGGUGUUGAAGG